AGGUGCGAUCAUUACCAGCACAUAAUGACACCGGGGAUCCACAUCAAGAACUCCGCAGGUAAGCGUGCUUGGGCGAGAGUAGUACUAGGAUGGGUGACCUCCUGUGAAGUGCUCGUGUUGCACCUCUUUUUUUCACGGGAGGUAGCAUUAACGGACUCG